rnacentral:tRNA from 1 species
AUUCUUGUAGUUUACUUAAAACGUUACACUUUCUCUGUAAAAAUAGCUAUUUUAUUAGCUUAAGAAUA